rnacentral:rRNA from 1 species
UACGUAGGUGGCAAGCGUUGUCCGGAAUUAUUGGGCGUAAAGCGCGCGCAGGCGGUCCCUUAAGUCUGAUGUGAAAGCCCACGGCUCAACCGUGGAGGGUCAUUGGAAACUGGGGGACUUGAGUGUAGAAGAGGAAAGUGGAAUUCCAUGUGUAGCGGUGAAAUGCGUAGAGAUGUGGAGGAACACCAGUGGCGAAGGCGACUUUCUGGUCUGUAACUGACGCUGAGGCGCGAAAGCGUGGGGAGCAAACAGG